rnacentral:rRNA from 1 species
UACGUAGGGUGCGAGCGUUGUCCGGAAUUAUUGGGCGUAAAGAGCUCGUAGGCGGUGUGUCACGUCGGCCGUGAAAACCUGCAGCUUAACUGUGGGCGUGCGGUCGAUACGGGCAUCACUGGAGUUCGGCAGGGGAGACUGGAAUUCCUGGUGUAGCGGUGAAAUGCGCAGAUAUCAGGAGGAACACCGGUGGCGAAGGCGUGUCUCUGGGCCGAUACUGACGCUGAGGAGCGAAAGCGUGGGGAGCAAACAGG